AGAGUUUGAUCCUGGCUCAGGAUGAACGCUAGCUACAGGCUUAACACAUGCAAGUCGAGGGGCAGCAUGUUGGUUGCUUGCAACCAAUGAUGGCGACCGGCGCACGGGUGAGUAACGCGUAUCCAACCUACCCUUGUCCAUCGGAUAACCCGUCGAAAGGCGGCCUAACACGAUAUACGGUUCACAGCAGGCAUCUAAGGUGAACGAAAUGUGAAGGAGAAGGAUGGGGAUGCGUCUGAUUAGCUUGUGGCGGGUAACGCCACAGGCUACGAUCAGUAGGGGUUCUGAGAGGAAGGUCCCCCANAUUGGAACUGAGACACGGUCCAAACUCCUACGGGAGCA
rnacentral:rRNA from 1 species